rnacentral:tRNA from 1 species
AUUCUUAUUAGCUCAAUGGUAGAGCAGAAUACUUCUAAUAUUUAGAUCUAAGUUCAAUGCCUAUUGUUAUAGAAUC